rnacentral:rRNA from 1 species
UAAUACGGAGGGGGCAAGCGUUGUUCGGAUUUACUGGGCGUAAAGGGUGUGUAGGCGGCUGGACAAGUCUGGUGUGAAAUCUUCACCGCUCAACGGGAAGGGGUCACUGGAAACUGUUCAGCUUGAGUAUGGUAGAGGCAAGCGGAAUUCCUGGUGUAGCGGUGGAAUGUGUAGAUAUCAGGAAGAACACCGGUGGCGAAGGCGGCUUGCUGGGCCAUCACUGACGCUGAGACACGAAAGCGUGGGGAGCAAACGGGAUUAGAUACCCCGGUAGUCCACGCUGUAAACUGUGCGCACUAGGUGUGGGGGGUAUCGACCCCUCCCGUGCCGACGCUAACGCAUUAAGUGCGCCGCCUGGGGAGUACGGCCGCAAGGUUG